CUGCACAUUUUUUGAACUGUGCGGAUGGGUGUGGCUAGCCGAGCUCGAUGAUGACUUAUAACUCUGAGAAGAUCCAAGAGGAUUAUCUCCUGUUUUAUGAAAUACAACAAGCAGCCUCCAUUCACCACCAUCCAGCCUCCUAUCUUUGACACAUUUGUCUCGCACACCACCCUCAAAUUUUGGCUACCUCCUUAUCAUGCAUCUCCUUCGAUGAAUAGUUUUGGGUUUCGUUUGACUCUGUUUGACUCUAUGACUUCUUCAAAUUGAGCUUAGCUUAAUGUCUGGUGACUUUCACCAAUUUACCAUGAUACCUUACAAAAAACACUUACGCACAACAGAUUACAUCACUUGAGUGGUUUCAAGCCCAAGGCAGGAUCUUCAUUUGACAACUCUGACCUUCACUAUUCCCAACUCUGAGCAACCUUGUUGGAAGCAAAUUGAUACCUCUUGAUGCCUCUUUAUAUAGUGUCCUUUGGUUUUAACUUGUCCCCAAACUUCAGGCACGUUACCAGGCGUUUAUGACUUUACUUGCUAUGAUGUAUGGACAAAGGACAAGAAAAAUCAUUCAAAUGUUUCACCAUUUCUACAAUGUAAUCAUCAACUUGAUGAAAAUAAAGUUGGAGAACAUGGACAUGCCGACAUGUCUUGGAAAACUUGAUCACCUGAUUGCACUCAUGUCCAAUUUUCAUGGUACUUACUCCUAUUGGACUUCCACAAGACCUUGAAAUAGUUCGUAAUCAGAUUCUAUCGAGUUCUAUUGUUCUAAUCUAGGAUGCUGUUCAAAAUCCAUUCUUACAACUCCCCACUCCUUAUACUUUUGAAAGCACCUCAACAUCUACCGUGGAUUCAUCUACCCUAGUCUCUUACUCCGCUCAUCGUGGUUGUUGCAAUGGAGGAUUUGGUGGAGAAUGUGGUGGCACUGGCAGUCAUGAUUGACCUCACUUCAACUACUGCAACUGUCAAGGACAUGCUGAAGAAGAAUGUUGCACCAAAGCUAGACAACAAGUUUCAACUAGCUAAUGUGACCCAAGCCACAACUCCUACUCCAGAUAUCACGAUUUCUACCACUAAGUAUCAUGAAUUUCUCAAACUUGAAUAGCUAACUAUCCUGCACCAAUUGUUUCAGUUAUGACUCAAUCUGGUAAUCCUAUAGCUUUUGUUUCAUAGUCCUCCUCUCCAAGAUCUUGGAUACUUAUUUUCGGUGCCUCAAAUCAUAUAGUUACCAAUCUCUUGUUUCCUCCUUGACCUAUAUGUGCAGAACUUAGUUCCUAGAAAUGUUUUCUAGAGUUCUCUAAUGUUUAUUGUAUCUGAUGUACCUCACUAUUGUAAAUAUAAAACUCUUGAGAGGGGUUUACACACUCUCAAAUUCACUCUAACUCCUCUAUAUUUUUAUCUCAAGUUGGUAUGUAUUACAUGAAUUACAUGAACACCAAUGUCACCUUUUUUGAAGAAUAUUCCUUCUUCCCUUCAUCUACUCAAGAUUCUAAUUUGUUCAAAAUGUUACUGUCCCAUUAAUUGAGUCUUCCACUCCUGUAACCCAAAAUACCAUACAAAAUCCUACUUAACCAUCGUCAUCACCUAUUAUUACCUAUCAAUGUAGGAACCUAAUGGCUAGCCCAAUACCCCAAGGUGAGUCCUCUUCAGAAGGUCACUCUCAAUCAUAACCUGGUACCACAACUCAUGAUCAUGAUGACUCAAGUUGGCCCAUUUCCAUUCACAAAGGUACUAGAUCUACCCAAAAUCCUUACCCUAUUUACAAUUUUCUUAGUUACCACUGGGUAUAUCCUUCUUAUUUCUCUUUCAUUUAUUUUGUCUCUUUUAUAACAAUUCAUAAAACUGUGACAGAAAUCAUCCUGGAUGGCAACAAGCCAUGAUUACCGAAAUACAAGCCCUUGAACACAACAACACGUGAGAGUUAGUUCCUCUUCCUUUUGGGAAUAAGACAAUAGGUUGUCAAUGGGUUUACACCAUUAAGGUAGGACCUAAUGGCGAAGUUGGUUGCCUUAAAGUACAAUUAGUGACUAAAGGAUAUACUUAAAUCUAUGGACUUGACUAUAGUGAUACUUUUUCUUUGGUGGCCAAAAUGACUAUUGUCAAACUCUUCCUUUCCAUGGUACCCAUUUGUCAUCGGCCCCUUCAUCAACUAGACAUUAUAAAUGCCUUUUUCCAUGGCGAUCUUGAAAGGGAAAUCUACAUGGAGCAACCUACUGGAAUUGUUACUCAGGGGGAGUCUGGUUUGGUUUAUAAGUUGUGUCACUCUCUCUACCAUCUUAAGCAAUCUCCACAUGCUUGGUUCAAAAAGUUCAACAACAUUGUUCAAUCCUUAACACCAUCAACAUGAUUUCCAUCGGAGUCCAUACGAAUUCCCACGCACCGGUCAAAGUUCGUAGACGCCAUCUUUUCCAUCCGCACGUGGCAGCGCGUGCAUCGUCUUCUCGGGCUCCGAUCAUCGUCGCUAGACUCACCCCGGCCUCCUCUCUCUGGAUCUGGCCUUGUUACCUUGAUUGGAGAAACUUGGAUUUUUAGGGUUUCUCUCUCUCUUGUUCAUCUAUGGUUUCUUUCACUGAUCUUUCUUCUACCACCGGUGUGUUUGACCCGGCCAUAUAUACUAUGUCAAUGUGCAUUUGUCUAUUGCUAAGUUAGAUAACACUAAUUAUGCGACUUAGGCAUCAUACAUUAAACUUUGGUUUAAGAGUUAGGAGUAUGUUGAUCAUAUUACUCACUCAAAAAGUGAUUGAUAUUGCUUCUGUUGAGAUUUCUCGUUGGAUGAAAAUUGAUGCUCAAUUAUGCAUCAUUCUCAAGGGUACCCUUCACUCUUCUUUAAAACCAAUUUUUCAUUCAUACAACACAUGUUUUGAAGUCUGGGAAUAGGCCAAAUUAUUAUACACCAAUAAUACUCAACAUCUUUAUGGUGUUUGUCAUGAUCUUUUCCAUGUUGUCGCUCCUCAACAUCAGGACUCUAUGACUGUUAUAUAGGUAAGAUUCGUUCUCUUUUUCAUGAAUUUAGUGAGUUACUACCUCUUACCUCUCCUCCUACCCAAGAAAUAGAGCAAGGUCAAAGUUCUUAAUGGUAUCAAAGUUGAGUUAAAGCCUAUUCUAGCAAAAUUUGAUGUUUGUUGGGUCUAUUGUUCCACCCGCUACCAAACCGAGGCAAACCACUCUGUUUUCUAUUGUCAUACCUCUCUUAGAAAAUGUCUGGACUUAAAUAGUGUAUGUCGACAAUAUAGUUAUCGCAAGAAAUGCUGAUGUUAAAAUCUAAGUUAAGGAGCAUCUAUGCAAUCAUUUUCAAACCAAUGAUCUUGGAAAUCUAAAAUGUUUUUUGGGCAUAGAAGUGGCACAAUCAAAGGACAGAGUGGUAAUAUCUCAAAGGACUGCUUUUGACAUUCUAAAAGAAAUAGGUUUGAAUGGUUCUGAAUUAGUAGAUUGUUCCAUGGAUCCAAAUAUGAAAUAAAUGGAAAAAGAGAGAGAAUCUUUCUUUGAUAUAGAAAGAUAUAGAAGACUAGUUGGAAAACUUAUUUAUCUCAUUAUUACUAGACCAGAUUUGUCUUUGUAGUCGAUGUUGAGUCAAUUCACACAGAAACCAUGUAUUGAUCACUAGAAUGUUGUCAUUCAUUUUCUAAGAUGUCUCAAAAAGGCUCCAAGACAAGGGCUACUUUAUGAAGAUAAAGGGAAUACUCAAAUUUUUUGCUAUUGUGACCUUGAUCGGGUUGGUUCUCCUAUGGAUAGACGUUCUACUACAAGAUAGUGUUUUCUUGGAGGAGAUAUUGUCUCUUGGAAAAGUAAGGAGCAAAAUUUUGUUGCCUAGUCAUUUACUGAAGUUGAGUAUAAGGAAAUGGCAUCUCUUGCCUUUGAGCUUAUAUGGGUAUAGCAGUUCUUACAAGAAUUAGGUUUCUAUAACAUUCAGCCAUAGAAGAUGUAUUGUCAUAACUAAACUGCCCUUUACAUUGCUUCCAAUCUAGUUCCAUAAGAGAACUAAACACAUUGGAAUAGAUUGCCAUUUUAUCCGAGAAAAGUUGUUGACCAAAGAAAUCUAUAUAGAGUUUGUUGGAUCAAAUGAUCAAAUUUGUAUUUAUUUAUUCCAAACUUGGUACAUAUAAUUUGUGUGCUCCAAUUUGAGGGGACUGGUAGAAUAAAUUAUCUUUAGUAAUAUUUAUUAUUAGGUGCCAUGUGCUUUGUGAUGAACCUAGUUGCUAGAAAUGUUUUCAAGAAUUCUCUUAUGUUCAUUGUAUUUGGUAUAUCUCAAGAUAUUAUAAAUAUGAAACUCUUGAGAGGGGUUUACAUACUCCCUCAAAUUCACUCUAACUCCUCUAUGUUUUUAUCUCAAGACUAAUAAUGCAAGAGAAUAUUUAUCUUCCCAAAUUCAGUCUUUACUAAAACUCAGGGGAUGAUUCUUCAUCAAACAUCAUGUGUCUACACACACAACAAAAUGGAGUUGUAGAGUACAAAAACCACCACUGCGGAAACAAUUUUCACUCUUGCUCUUCACUCCGAUGUUCCUCUACAUUUCUCAGGGGUGUUCGUCCUGCAUAUCCUCUGAUUAACCACAUGCCUUCAUCAGUCUUAACAACAAAUUAUUUCUUGAACCCUAAAACUGGACUUCGUUUUGUCACUCUGUGCAUAUUUGGGAAGACAUGUUUUUUCCAUAAACUCACUCCAAGUAAAAAUAAAGGUUAAUGCUAAAUCCCUAAAAUGUAUUUGUUUUUUACUCUUGAUCCCACAAAGGUCAUUGAUGUUUCUCUCCUUAAAUACAACAGUAUGUAGUGUCUAUUGAUGUUAUCUUCUUUGAAACUACUCCUUGUUUUUCUUCCAUAGUUAAAGAUGACUUCUAAAGGUUCCACUAUUGUUCCAGUAGUAGCUCCUACUCCACCUCCACUUCUCACAUACCACCAACUGACAUGGGAACCAGAGAGUGCCACCCCUGUCUAUCUUUUUCUUGCCACCAUUGGCCUUCACCAAUUAGACAUAAGAAAAGUCUUUCUACAUGGUAAGUUAGAUGAAGUGAUGGAUCAACUACCUUGUUUUAUAAUCUCGAUAACUCACUCAUCUUGAUCAUAGGCUUUGUCACUUGAAGCAAACUCCCAGUGCUUGGUUUGAUCGUUUCAGCUCAAUUUUGCUUGAGGUUGGUAUUACUCGUUGUGAAGUUGAUCGCUCGGAUUUUUUCAUUGUAUUCUUCGUUGGUAUGUUCAUCUAUUUUGUUUACAUGUUGAUAAAAUGGUCUCUAAUGGCAUUUUUCAACAAAAAUCUCACAUUAAGUUUCAAACCAAGGAUUUGGGUCUUCUUUGGUACUUUCUUGACUUGGAAGUUGCACAAUCCCCGUCUAGCACUGCCAUUUCCCAGCGAUAGAAUGAUUUAUACAUUUUGACCAAGACUAGUAUGAUUAAUUGUUGCCCUAGAGAUACUCCAAUGGAUCCUUGAAGCUUUUUCCAAGUCAAGGGGAGCCAUCGAAAGACCCUAGAAGAUAUCAUGAUCUAAUACACAGACUUAAUUACCUCAUUGUCACUAGACCGGACGUCACAUAUGUAGUUAGUGUGGUUAGUCAAUUCGAAAAGGAUCCAUGUGGUAGUCAUUGGGAUGUUGUGGUAUGCAUCCUUUGAUACAUCAGGAAUGCACCAGGUUAUGGUUAAUAUAUGCAUAUAAGGGCAAAGCCAAAAUUGUGUUAUUUUAGUGCUAAUUGGGCAAAUUUGCCAUUAGAUAAUAGGUCUAUUUUUGGAAUAUUGUCUUCUCAUUGGUGGAAAGUGAUUUCUUCAAGGA